AGAAAAGAUGAUUAGAUGGGGGGGCCAGAGACCAUAAACACGCACAUGCUCCACUAGGGAAGGGAGUGGAGGCCUUCACCUAACAAAGAUUUGUCAAGCACCUACUGCUCACUGGGUACUCAGGACAUGAAGGUGAGAACGGGCACAGCGUCUGUCCUGAGGAGCUUACAGUCAAUGGAGGAUCAGCCAUCACUCAAAUAGUCACCAACAAUUGCAAACCGAUACAACAGCAAUGAAGUGAAAGGUCCCAUGACCGCACGUAACACCGGGUCCUAAACCAGCCCAGGGCAGGAAGUGAGUGGCUAUUUAUUAUGAGACCUGAGGGUAAGGGGGAGUAAAGUGGGUGAAAGGAUGGAGGUGGCGAGGAGGGUGUCUGGGAGGAAGGACCAGCAGGUGCAAAGGCCCUGAGGCGGGAAGAUGCUUGGUGUGUGUUAGGCCCUGGUGGCUGCUGGGGGAGGUGGGACUGUGGCAGAGCAGAUUGGAAGCAGGGAGACCUGUUGGCAGGUGCUGCCCAUCAGUCUAGGCAUGGGAUGAUGCAGACCGGAGAGGGUGAAGUCCAGAGGUAUUUGGAGACAUGCCUGGUGCGAGAUUGGACAUGGAGGGGAUGGGGAAGGGGGUGAGGAAGGUGUCAAGGAUGCUCCCUCAUCAGCUGCUGCAGUUUCCUAUCAAGGAAGAAGGGUAGGGCUGACAAAGAGAGAGGACCCCGUGUUUAGCCUUGAACCUGUUAGUCUGAGGUGCUCUUGAGACCUGCAGGUUGGGGUGUAAGUGGCCUUUGGGCCCAGAGCUCCGGGGAGCAGUCUGGCCUGGAGGACAGGCUCACCCUGGUGCAAUGGAGGCAAAUUAGAUGCAGGAUCUCCUGGGGCUUCGAGCCUAAUGAGGGAGAUGGGUACCGAGGAGUAUUUGCCAUCCAUUGUGCCGGUUAGUGCUGCAAGGUGCUCUCACGCACUGAGUCGGGCCCUCGCCGGAGCGCCGGGUGAAAAGUGGAAGCCUUCUGUCUGGUGGGCUCGCGCUGACAAAGCCUUUCUCUAUCCCGCUUCACAUUUACCUGCCCUCCCCCCCAGGGAGGUAGGCAUCGGCUGCAUGCUUGCCUUGCAAAGGGGGAACGGGGUGGGGUGACUUGUCCGAGUGCCCUUGCUGGCAAGACUUGGAGGUGGGGCUUAAACCCCCGCUUCCGGUGCCAGACCUCCAUCUCUCUCCAGGAGGACCAUGUGACCUCUUGCUCCUGUCUAGGAAGAGGGUGAAACCUGGGUGCAGGCGGGCAUGUGUGUGUGUUCCUGGGUGCAGCCACGGAUCUGCCCAUCCCAGCUUUCAGCCACUCCUCGGCUGGAGGAGUCUGUGCAGAUACAGGACACUCCGGCUUCUAGAAGCCCAGUUUUCCUACUUCAGUUGUGGGAGGUGGAGAUAAGGCAGCGGACAGUUCAGGAAAUUUGAACACAAUUGGAAAAAAAGGAUGAGUGGAAAGCAGGAAAUGAAGCGCAAGAUACUCAAUGAACACCCGGAAAAGCUUUGCCCAAACCCCUAAGCGGAGCUGAGGUCAGCAUUUGGAACUUGUGAGAGAUGCAAUGAGCAGCAAAGUCCUUCUGAUCCUUCAAGGAGGGAGGCGGGGGAGGGGAAGAAAGACCUAGUGGAUUGCCUUGCUGAGGGGCCCUGCCUGGGCCUGGAAAGAAAAUUCAACUGGGGGUCAGGGGCCAUGUGCUCGAAUCACUCAUUCCUCGACAACAAUCAUUGAGUAAGUUUUUCGAGUGCUGGAGGAUGAGUGGGGAAGAGUGAAGACGAGCUGCCCCUGUCCCCAAGGGGCUCCCUCUGUAGCUAAAUUGUCCAGUUCAGGGACCUCAGCCUGCCCGCGGGGCCCCCUAUUUCCACCGGGACAGCGACAGCCACACAAGUGACUGAGGGCCUCCCAGCUCCAUCACCUGGGGAGGUGACAGUGUUUCCUCACGGCCUCAGUGAUGAGUCCACCUGGUUGGGUGUCCCUGGGUCUGGCUGAAUGAGCCCUGUCCGAUCCUAAUUGCUUGCUAAUGGCUGUAAACAUUGCUCUCAUUUUCAAAACAAAGGUGAGAGCUUUUCUCUCUGUGGUAUCCAGAGAGCAAGGGUUUCAGGACCUGGGAGAAACUGGGAGUCUGAGGCAAUUCUGGCUGAUUCUGGCUGUUUCUCUGCAUGUGCUUUGGAGGCGUGCCCAGGGGUAGGACCCCCGAGUGUGGGAUGCCAGGGCUGUGCCAGGUCAUGCUCCCAGCAGCCCCGCGACCAUGGGAACCGCACCGUGGACUCUCUGCCAUCCAGCUUCCCGCUGGGGAUGCCAUGGCGGGAGGCUGAGAGACGAGGAGACUGAGGAUGCGGCGCUGGCUCCAGGCUCCCUCCCUCCGGCGCCCCCAGGCAGGCUGGGCCUGGGCUGGUGUCCCUGCUCCUAUGCUCCUAUCCAGGCGUCCUUUCCACCUGCUGUGCUGGUGAUCCUGGUAACGGCCACCUCCUCUGGCUGGCUCAGGCCCUUGUGGGCUAGCUCUGAGGCCCUUGUGACGCCCUGCAUGCUGUCUACAUCUCUGUAAACAGAGCGUCUGUUAAAAUUCUCUUCAUAUUACCCAGUUUGAGUGGGCCCUCUCUUUCCUACUGGGACCCUGACCAAUGUAUCCUGGGAGUCUAAACUCGGAUGUCAGAGGACUAUUGACGGGAACGUGGGGGGAGCUGGAUGAGGGGGCACAUUGGUGGCUGGGUGGCGGUGGGCAGCAGGGCGGGCCUCUGUGUGGGAUCUUCGGGGAAUCCCUGAAUCCCCCCUGGGCCUCGAUUUCCUCAUCCACGGAGCCAGGUGGGUGGACCCAUGCCCCCCAGACUCUGAUCCUCGUGGCUCGAGUCGGGAUGGGAAAGGAGAGGACUCUGCUUCUGGGCUUUUCCCUCAUUUUUCAAACUGAUGCUUUGGAGGGAACAUCCAACAUUCUGAUUCACUCGGAUUCCGUCUCCUUCAGAAUUCUGUCCAAGAAGACUUACUUUAAAAAUAUUUCCCCUCGCUGAAUCACAUAAACACUGGACCUUGGUGCUGUCGGGAGCAAAUUCCACUUUAGUCUCAGAGGGAGGCUAUUUUGGUGUCCCCAGGAGCCAUGUCUGAGGGGCUCAGAGGCUGUGGCCGCUGCAGAAUGCACAGCAUCACUUUCUCAAGGGCCAAGUUUUGCCUAGUGCGGAACCCCCCACCUCGUAGCCAACUCUAGUCCAGUAUCUUGUGGCUGUGUGUUACAGCCAGGAGGUGUGUCCCAAAGCAAAGGUUGUGGACGGGACGCUGGAUGAUCACUCCUGAUCAGGCCGUGGAGAAAGCCUCCGGGGGUGCUGUGUGUCUUCAACACCUCUCUGGUAUUUGUAACCCCCUUUCAACAAAGGAAGCGGGCCCAGGGCCUGGGCUGGCCCCUCGAGUCUAACCAGACUGCAAUAGCGUGGUUUAUAGUCCAUCGUAUUUAUUUUUACAGUUUUUUUUUUUUUUUUAAUGACAAAUGGUACUAAUUUUCGAUGUAAGUUGGCCAUGUGAAGUUAUGGUUCAAAAGUAAGUCCGUAUUAAAGGAAUAGUUGUACAGGUGACAGAGAGAAGGCAGAAACUGUGCCUUGGAAUGACUGAAUGUGGAAACACGCUAACACAGCUAGCUGGAAACUUGCGUCACAAACCGGGAGGCCUGGCCUGGUGGGUGGGCUCGUGGGCUCCGCAGCAGACCUGGAACUGGUGCCUCUCCGUCAACCUUGUUAUUUAACCUCGUUUUUCUUGACUGUAAAAUGACGGUUAGUAUAAAAAUAGCCCCCAGCUCCUCGGGCGGCUGGGAGGAGGCCAUGAGUCACUGCGUGUCAAAUGCAGGAAGCACGUGGUGGAUGUGUUCCCGGAUGCUCGCAGCUUUUCCUGCACUCCCUGAGAGGGCCCGUCUGCUUCAGCCACACCACGGCAUGUGGGGUUAGGAGGAGUCCCUUCCACGUGGCCUGCUGUCCAGCUCGCAGACCCAGCUCAGGGUUCCAGACGCUGAUUCCACGGCUGGAUGGAGAGACCAGCUGUCACUGGGACAUCACCUGCCUGCCAAUCCAGGGGGACCCCUGAGACUGUGCAGUUCUGUCCUCUGCGGAGGGUAAGUGCAAUCUCUCAGACCACCAGCAAGAUGGAGUCAAGGACAGAGAUGGAAAGACCGAGGUCUCCUGGACCCCAGCCCAGAACCCUUUCCCGGACCCCUCUCCAGAAUAAAUGUUCCCUUUAAAAUCU